rnacentral:tRNA from 1 species
GCAGGGGUAGCAGAGCUUGGUCAAUCCUCAUAGAGGGACUUUAUGCGCGGGACUCAAGAUCCCGUCCCGAAGGGGUACAUGGGUUCAAAUCCCAUCCCCUGCACCA